CUUUAUUUGUAAUCAGAGCUUGUGUAAUUUUCUCUUGAUCAAGAAAAUUGCGCACGCUCUGAAUAUAAUCUAUAAA